rnacentral:rRNA from 1 species
AAACGACUCUCGGCAACGGAUAUCUCGGCUCUCGCAUCGAUGAAGAACGUAGCGAAAUGCGAUACUUGGUGUGAAUUGCAGAAUCCCGUGAACCAUCGAGUCUUUGAACGCAAGUUGCGCCCAAAGCCUUUUGGUUGAGGGCACGUCUGCCUGGG